rnacentral:tRNA from 1 species
AGUUUAAUAGUUUAAUAAAAACAUUGGUCUUGUAUACCAAAAAUGAGGUAUCUUUUAAACUU